rnacentral:rRNA from 1 species
AUGAACGGACCAGUUAGUGUACAUAUAAGUUUGCACUCUGUCUUCCUGCUCAUUCGUGCAAUGUGUUCAUGGGAGACUUUUUUAGGAAAACAUAAAAUAAUUUUUCUUUCUGUGCGUACUACUCCAGCUUUCAAGUGCCAGGCUUCAAUAAAUCUGAAAUUUCUAUCACUCGAUUUGCAGUGUUUAUUUUACGGUUACCACUGGGAAAUGCUUCCUUUUAAUCAUUUUUAUCUGGUACACACCAUUGCAAGUGUAUUAUUUAAGAAAUCAAGUCCAUUCUGGAAGAAUAUUCACUCAUGA